GACGAACCGUGCGAACGUUAUUCGGAAUCAUUGGGCUUAAAGGGCGCGUAGGCGGGCGACCGCGUCGAGUGCUGAAAUCCCCCGGCUCAACCGGGGAAGGGGCCUCGAAACGGGUCGCCUCGAGGCGAGGAGGGGGACCUGGAACGUCCGGUGGAGCGGUGAAAUGCGCAGAUAUCAGGAGGAACACCGGUGGCGAAGGCGACUACCUGGCCUGUUCUUGACGCUGAGGCGCGAAAGCUAGGGGAGCAAACGGG
rnacentral:rRNA from 1 species